GCCUCCUUAGCUCAGUGGUUAGAGCACUGGUCUAGUAAACCAGGGGUUCAGAGUUCGAAUCUCUGACGAGGCU
rnacentral:tRNA from 1 species